CAGUCAUACCAACGGGAAAUCAACCUUUUGAGCUCGGUCUCGUGGGUUUUGAAGGGUUUCAAAGCCUUCGGAUUCGCGGGAUUGGGAUCUCUUGGCGUACUUUUUCGUACGGUUAGUCAACAUCGGUUUUGAAUGUCAUAAAAUGACUGGAGGAAUGUAGCUUCGAUCUCGUAUUGAAGUGUUAUAGCCUUUGGUAGAUGUGAUGUUUGAGAUCGAGGAUUGCAACGGAUACCCUUCAGGGCUAUUCGUCUGAUCUCUGAUACGUUGCCUUGAUGUUGAAAGCUUGCUUAUGAUGUUAGGGUAUUACGGUCAAAAGGUUAGAACGAAUUACA
rnacentral:rRNA from 1 species